rnacentral:rRNA from 1 species
CGGGGUGAGUAAUGUCUGGGAAACUGCCUGAUGGAGGGGGAUAACUACUGGAAACGGUAGCUAAUACCGCAUAACGUCGCAAGACCAAAGAGGGGGACCUUAGGGCCUCUUGCCAUCGGAUGUGCCCAGAUGGGAUUAGCUAGUAGGUGGGGUAAAGGCUCACCUAGGCGACGAUCCCUAGCUGGUCUGAGAGGAUGACCAGCCACACUGGAACUGAGACACGGUCCAG